rnacentral:tRNA from 1 species
GCCUGGGUGGCUUGGUCGGUUAAGCGUCUGACUUCGGCUCAGAUCAUGAUCUCACGGUCCGUGAGUUCGAGCCCCACGUCGGGCU